CCCCCUCUCACUCUCUCUCUCUCUCGCACAGUCUCUCAGCUUCUUCCAGUUUCAAUUCAGGGAGCCGAACUUGAUCCCUUUGCAGUUCAAAGAAAAAUGAAUUUUGCCAAAUGUAGAUGAACAAUUGCAGAAAGACCUUUGGCAGAUGAGAUGCAGUACAACCCAUUUAGAGUCACUUGAAGCUAUUCGCUGGCAACAACUAUAGUAAACUGGGAUAUGGCAAUGCAUUCUGCAGGAUGGCCUGAACACACUGACCAUCUCUUCACUACAGAGCCAGGAUAUAUCAAAGCUAAUUCUCAGCAUCGUCUCCAAUUGACUGUACUUAAAAAGAGAAGAAAGAACCUAUUCCUAUAGUGUUAUAAACUAAAAGACGGACUUAUAAGAUGCAAAGAGCCCUCAUCCAGUGGCUGAUGGAAGCACAGUCAGACAUCUACAGCAAAACACUGAACUGAACUCUGGAACCCAGUUGCAGAAAAGGAGGAGUGAAGAACAAAGAGGUGGGGACCAGGCUGAUGAAACCCACAGAAACAGCUGACCUGAACAAGGGGAGCACAUGGAUCUCAGAUUAAAGUCUGGGAGGCCGUCAUGGGACUGAUCCAGACCCCUGAACAAGGAUGUUAAUGAGGAGGACUCAGUACUCUGUGGAUCAGUAUUUAUCCCUGGUGUAAGAAGGGACUUUGAGAGCCCACCCCACAUGGAGGGAUGCUUUCUCAGCCUGAAUACAUGGGGGGAGGGCCUAGGCCCUGCCCAGGAUGAUAUGACACACUUUGGGGAACCCCCAUGGAGGGCCUUACCUUCCCUGGAGAGCAGAAGGGGAUGAGGUGGGGGGCUGGGGGUAGGUGAGGGGAGCGAGAGAC